UACGUAGGGUGCAAGCGUUGUCCGGAAUUAUUGGGCGUAAAGAGCUCGUAGGCGGUCUGUUGCGUCGGCUGUGAAAAUCCGGGGCUCAACCCCGGACUCGCAGUGGGUACGGGCAGACUAGAGUGUGGUAGGGGAGACUGGAAUUCCUGGUGUAGCGGUGAAAUGCGCAGAUAUCAGGAGGAACACCGAUGGCGAAGGCAGGUCUCUGGGCCACUACUGACGCUGAGAAGCGAAAGCAUGGGGAGCGAACAGG
rnacentral:rRNA from 1 species